UACAGAGGUGGCAAGCGUUGUUCGGAAUUACUGGGCGUAAAGGGCGCGUAGGCGGCUUUCUAAGUCAGACGUGAAAUCCCCCGGCUUAACCUGGGAACUGCGUCUGAUACUGGAGGGCUUGAGUAUGGGAGAGGGAUGUAGAAUUCCAGGUGUAGCGGUGAAAUGCGUAGAUAUCUGGAGGAAUACCGGUGGCGAAGGCGGCAUCCUGGACCAUUACUGACGCUGAGGCGCGAAAGCUAGGGGAGCAAACGGG
rnacentral:rRNA from 1 species